AGAAAAACACAGAGGGGCGACCAAGCUCCUUCAUUGAACCCUAGUUCUUGAAUUUCCAUCAAAUUGAUAGGGCAAAUCAGCUCCAACUCGAAAUCCAAACUCAGAAUAGUGAUCACCUUCGUGCAAGGAUCAUAAGGCAAAGGAAUCGAGUCUUCAAGCGGACAAGCCGGAGCGGACACACGCUUGAAGGGAACGCUCUAAAGGUGAAGUAGGAGAUAUUCCGGAUGGCGAUCAAGCAAGAAUUCAAGAACCGAACACAACAUUUUGAAGCUUCCGCGUUAAUCUAACUUGUUUUAGACAAUGUUAAUUUUGUAAACACUUAACUUAGCGUUUUAAAUGUUUUAAACUAGUUGGGUAGUUAACUAGAAUACUAU